UGUCAGACGUUCAGUUUCCACUAAGGCC
rnacentral:piRNA from 1 species